CUCACCUGUUGGGCCGACAAAACACAAAAUUGAGACGUCAGAAAAGAAAAGAAUUUGAACAGCAUGACAGUCUGUCUACGAGUGUGUGAUUACGUCGUCAAGAGAGAAGCUCACGACUUGAUGGCAUCCGCACGAAAGCCAGAAAAAAGGCAUAAGGUUUCUAAGAUUUUCAGAUCUAGUGAACUUCCUUACUCAUCAAGACGGAUGACUCUACUGAACCAGUCUACGAGAACAAUUCUUCUCUCCGGUCGAGAAAGACGGGAAGGUCAAAGUAUUCCAGUAGAAAGUCAUAUUCGGAUUGCUCACGCAACGUCAAAAACCGACCCCAGGAACAAUCAAAAGGGCCAAGGUUUUUCUUUUUUAAAUAUAUUUUUGGCUAGAGGAAUCGGAAAGGGAAAGGAGAACUGCUAUUGUACUAUCCGCAUGGAAAUGACAAGACAUCCGCAAACGCCUCUACUGCGGUUUCCCUACCGUAAAAAUGGGGAAAAUAAAAAUAGCCGUAGAGGAUGAAAAGAGAAACAGAAUAAUUUAAGUUAUCAACGAAUGGAAAAUAGCUAUGGGCCUAUCAUCCGAUGCUACGCUUGGCAAAAGUUUUGUUUUCCCUUGUCAUUCUGUGAAAGGCGACAUGGUUACAACAAAUUCUUCAUUAAACUCGACGAGGUGAUCGGUCAGGUAAAAAAAAAAACAAUUGAUAAUUUCGUUCCAGUUUCCAUCGAAUAAUUAUUUUUAAACUGGAUCGCCUCUCGUACUUGUUAGCUAUUUUUUGGGGGGGGCCCAUUUGUUUACGUGAACUGAAAUGGUGUCACCUAACUUGGGUAAUUUCCAAACUGAUGUCUGGGCUAUAUGCCCAGUUCUUAAUGAAAUUCAGGUUAUUCGUUCAAGCUAACACGCUUUCGCAGAGUCCUGGAAACGGAAGUAGAAGCCAAUCGAGCCCAAAUGGCUUCAGGGCGUGCGCUUCAAUUAUCAGGGGCCAAUCAAAUGCAGUACGUGCACCUUAAAUUUCCACGACUUUCACUAUCUAAUCGGAUAGGCGAAUUAAUUUACC